ensembl:rRNA 5S_rRNA 5S ribosomal RNA
AGUUGUGGCCACACCAUUUUGUACAUUCCUGCUCCAAUCUGAUCCCAGAAACUAAACAGGGUUGUGCUUGGUCAGUAUUUGUCUGGGAAACCGCCUGGGUAUACCAGGUGGUUGAAGCUU